rnacentral:rRNA from 1 species
AGACAGCAGCAGCCGCGGGAAUACGUAGGUGGCAAGCGUUGUCCGGAAUUAUUGGGCGUAAAGCGCGCGCAGGUGGUUUCUUAAGUCUGAUGUGAAAGCCCCCGGCUCAACCGGGGAGGGUCAUUGGAAACUGGGAAACUUGGGUGCAGAAGAGGAGAGUGGAAUUCCACGUGUAGCGGUGAAAUGCGUAGAGAUGUGGAGGAACACCAGUGGCGAAGGCGACUCUCUGGUCUGUAACUGACGCUGAGGAGCGAAAGCGUGGGGAGCGAACAGGAUUAGAUACCCCCGUAGUCCCUGUCUCUUAUAA